CUAGACUCAGAGCUGACUGUCUGCUUUAUGUACUGUCACUAGACUCAGAGCUGACUGUCUGCUCUGCUUUAUGUACUGUCACUAGACUCAGAGCUGACUGUCUGCUUUAUGUAUAUUCCGACCUUGACCUUUACCCAUGAUCAUGUCUUGACCGUGUGACUGUGUCACCAGGUACAUCGAGGUGUUCCCCAGUAGGAGGAGUGAGAUCGGAGGUCGGAAGAAGACGGAGUCUUUUGAAGAGGGCAGGAACUCCAGACAGAGUCAACCACACAGACCUGCAGCACAGCCCCCCAGACAUGGGUCUCAUCCGGUAUCUUCUCUGCCCCAACACUUUGUUCACAUGAGAGGACUGCCCUUCCAAGCCACAGGAGAUGACAUCGUUCAGUUCUUCUGUCCUCUAGCGCUGUCUAGGAUACUGGUGGAGUUCGGUCCGGACGGGAGGGCCAGCGGAGAGGCUGAUGUUUACUUCACAUCACACCAAGACGCCGUCUCAGCCAUGACCCGGGACAAGGCACACAUGCAAGAGAGAUACAUUGAGCUGUUCCUGAAUUCAACAUCAUCUGACGAGGGGGAAUGAAGGUUGCCAGGGGUUCUUAGCGGAGAUGACCUGUGUAUCAGAGGUGGAAAUCCCCAUCGACUGGAUGUGGCACCAUUUGUAAAGGUGUAGAAUAUAAUAAUAAACUAUGUUAAUCCAAA